AUUGAACGCUGGCGGCACGCUUAACACAUGCAAGUCAAGGGGUAGACAUCUUCGGAUGUUGAGACCGGCGCACGGGUGCGUAACGCGUAUGCAAUCUACCUUAUACUAAGGGAUAGCCCAGAGAAAUUUGGAUUAAUACCUUAUGGUUAAUAAAGCCGGCAUCGGUUUAAUUAUAAAGAUUUAUUGGUAUAAGAUGAGCAUGCGUCCCAUUAGUUAGUUGGUAAGGUAACGGCUUACCAAGACGAUGAUGGGUAGGGGUCCUGAGAGGGAGAUCCCCCACACUGGUACUGAGACACGGACCAGACUCCUACGGGAGGCAGCAGUGAGGAAUAUUGGUCAAUGGACGGAAGUCUGAACCAGCCAUGCCGCGUGCAGGAUGAAGCAUCUAUGGUGUGUAAACUGCUUUUGUACGGGAAGAAAAAAAGCUACGUGUAGUUUACUGACGGUACCGUAAGAAUAAGGAUCGGCUAACUCCGUGCCAGCAGCCGCAGUAA
rnacentral:rRNA from 1 species